CAAGGGUUUUUAAAGGCAGGAGUACAUUUCAGGGAAAAGGAUGUUGCAGGCAAAAUCUUAUAUCAAUAUAUGGAAGUAAUACAUUGGUUUGGCCUAAAAAGGCAGGCCAGAGGUGGACUAAAAGACUUCUUGAUCUGCAAUUGGUUAAGGAAGGAAAGCUUUGUCUAAACACUUGGGGUCAGUCAAAAGGAAUAUUAGGCCUGGCCUGUGGGUUUGAUUUCCUCCUGGCUCCUCAGGAAUAAAUUUAGAAUGAAGAACGGUUGCCAGAAUUUACUCCUCAGCUGUCCCCUGUCUGAAGUCUUAUGUGCUAGAGGAUUCCUUUUCGAAAACCACACUGAGGAAGUGUCCAGCUAUUCCCAAGGAUACUAUCAACAGGGCUGGAUGCUUCCUGUACUAGAACAUUAAACUCCAAGUUCUUCAGCUUUGAAACUCUUGGACCUUUGACCACAGACUGAAGGCUGCACUGUCGGCUUCCCUACUUUUGAGAUUUUGGGACUCAAACUGGCUUCGUUGCUCCUCAGCUUGACUAUAGUGGGACCUCACCUUGU